UUGUUGUGGUGCCUUUCGUUUGGCGAAGGGUGAAAAGGGAAUACGGUGUAAAUCCGUAGCGUUGGACCAGCGCUGUAAGCAGGGACUGAUGCCGCAAAAGGCCACUGCCCGGCCAGCAUCCGGGUGGGAAGGCGUGGCGUCGGAUGGAUCUGCGAGCCAGAAGACCUGCCCGGCAACU
rnacentral:ncRNA from 1 species